GCUGCUCUUCGUCGGGGACGUUACCGUUUACUUGCCCGCGCCAACGGCCAGCUACUCGCCGGGAUUCGCCGGGGUCGCCGUCUUCUCCGUGCGCCACGCUGACAGGAAGCUGGUCGCCGAGUUCCCGGGGAUUCGCCGCGCACCCAGGUACUCCGCCGCCUCCCCAGUAGCUGUCCGAGCGGCGGACCGCGACGCGCGCGCGAGUGUCCAAUGGCUCCGGUGGUCCGAUGAGCGUGGCUGCCGGCCAUGGCCGUGGUCGUGUGCCACUGCCUCUCCCGCUGGAAGCACGGAGGCUCGCGGCCAAGAUCCGGGGAGAAGGAGCUCCGUGACGGCGAGCUCCUCUAGGAGCAAGGCGACCACAUACUCCAAGAGCACGACGACGACAAGCUUUGAGGCUCCUUCUGGCAACCUUAACGAGGAGGAGGGUGGCAGCUGGAUGAGGAUUAAAAUCACGCUGGAGUCACCGUGCUGUCCUCUGACUACACAGCCGACGCCCCAUGAUCUUCAGGACGGCGGCGGCGCGGCGGCUGGACCUCCCUACCAGCUUGCCUGGCCAAACUCCACAAGCUACAGCUCACGGUCACGGAUCCAAUCCAGGAAACGUCCUGCUAGCUAGUGCCAUGGUUCCCCCACGGAAUGAGCAGGGAGUUCUAGCGACGCAUUAUACAAGGAGCUAUGGCAUGCUUGGGCUAGGCCGUUGAUCACAGUGCCUCGCCAAGGUGAAAGGAUUUACUACUUUCCGCAUGUUUAUAUUGGAACAGGUUAAUAGGGACUCUGGUAGCUCACAGAUCGCGUGCAUAGUAGAUGCCCUCAACGACAACUCUGUUUGACAUCACAUCCUCGUGUAACAAACAAACGGAGACGGCACCGGCCAUGGCCAUGGCGACGGCGACGGGAACGGCGGCGAUCACGGUUGGGGAGAGCACCGGCGACGACGCAGCAACACAGCAAACGACGUCGGCGAAGCCACCGAUGCCGGAGACGGAGACGACACCGGUGAUGGAAGCAGCCACGGCAAGGGCAACCGCCACGAGAUGCGGCUAUGUAACGUCCCUUGGCCUGACCAGCGACGGCGACGGCAGCGACAUCGUCGACGAGGACAUCACCAACAACGACAAACAUAUGCAGCUAUCUUCCCUUGGCCUGGCCAGCUACUGCGACGGGGAUCGUGACGGCAUCGCCGAUGGGCGACAUCACCGGCGAUGACAACAGAUGCGGCUUCUUCAUCUCAUCAUCGACGCAUGGAUAUUCUUGUAUUGAUUUCCAUGCAUUCAUUGUAAUUGAUAUCUCACGAGCUAGUUCAAUGAAACAGUAUAAUCCAUCCAUGCAUGCCAUGGCGACCAAGAUGGAGGCAUGCGCAUUGCUAGCGUUUCCAUCAUCAACACACAUCGGCGCUCACACGCGUGGCAAUACACAGCCGCGGUUCUUGCUGAUGUGCAGAAUACACAUGCAUGCGUGCGUACCUGACAUGCAUGCCUAACAUAUUGUUUUAUUUUACAUGAUACCUAACAUGUUGUUGGUUGUGACUUGUAAAGCUCGGAGAAGCCAAAUCAUAUUGCUUUUGAUCAGUGGCAAAGUUAUAUGUAAUGGAAGUAUAUA